rnacentral:rRNA from 1 species
CGGACGGGUGAGUAACGCGUGGGUAACCUGCCUCAUACAGGGGGAUAACGGUUAGAAAUGACUGCUAAUACCGCAUAAGCGCACAGUACCGCAUGGUACGGUGUGAAAAACUACCGGUGGUAUGAGAUGGACCCGCGUCUGAUUAGCUAGUUGGUGGGGUAACGGCCCACCAAGGCGACGAUCAGUAGCCGACCUGAGAGGGUGACCGGCCACAUUGGGACUGAGACACGGCCCAG